AACCUUUCCAGAUGGAGCCUCUUGGGACUCAUAGACAUUGCUGUCUCUCACUUUUCCACUUUCCCGUGGGUGCUGCUGGGAAUUUUACAAACAGACUCCCGAGUGAUUGCUAACAGUUGGUCAGCAUGACCUCUCCAGUCCCUCAGGUUCUACCCUGGGUCUGGAGCCACUUAGACAAAGCCCAUACCACAAUGGGCAGCCGCAUUCCCAAAUCCCGGCCUCACUGGCUUGUAGAAUUCCCAGCAGCUCUAACCCCUGUAGCUUCACCAGCUCCCGCUGUUGUCUGCUUUACCCAGUGACCACUGCCUUCUGUUUUUAGGUGACCGAAGAGGCCUAUGUCCCAGUGAGUGACAUGAACGG
rnacentral:lncRNA from 1 species